rnacentral:lncRNA from 1 species
UUUUUUUUUUUUUUUUUUUUUUUUUUUUUGUUUUGUUUUGUUUUGUUUUUUUUUUCUCUUUGUCUGCAUCAGACUAGUGCUUUUUGAGGUGUUGCCUUAAUAUUUUUCCUGAACUUAAGGACGUGAUACGAUGUUUGCAGGUUAUUGGGGAAUGGAAAGAGGUGGCAAGCACAUGUCGGAGAGGACAUUUGCAGCCUCAAGUGCUUUUUUAUGAGGCGGUAGCAGCAAGAUCUGAGGCUUUGGCACUGACAGUGUGUUAAUGGGUUACUGGAAAAGUUAAUUGAAGUUGAGGAAUUUAUUGAUUCGCGUAGGCAUAUGACUGUAACUCUCAUUUCAAAGGAACAAAUCAUCACUUUGCUGAGCACUUCCCGUCUGUGUUGUGUCAUCAAAAAGGCCACAACGGAUUGUCUUCAGUAGUAUGUAGGCUGAAAUAUGUAGUGUAGAAGUGGUGGAGGUCUUGAUGUAGCUCGACUGUUUUUCCUCUUGCAUCCCAUUCUUGAAAUGUAGCUAGCCUAGAAUAAUGUGCAGAGUGGAGAAGUGGAAACGGUCAACCCGUUGCAUCUUGCUACUGCUCCUUUCAAAGUUCUACUCAGGAGUUUUCUGGAGUUCUGAAGGUUGAUGAACUUCUGACAUAACUCGGCAUGGAGCGCAUUGUAGUCGAUGUAAAAGAUAAGUUUUCGUACUUGGCAAUUGAACCAUUUGAACAGUUACAUCAUGACUCUUAUUAAUAUGCUAUGAUGACUAUGCUUUUACUUUAGACGUUUUUAAGACAGAGAUAAUAGAAAAAAGAUGGUUCUAAAAUUCAAAUUCAAGUAUUCACUAUAUCAUUAUAAAUUCUGAUUAGUUAUUAUAUCAAACUGUGAACGUUUUUUGAUAUGUUAAAUUUCAAUUGCAUUUUCUGUAUUCAAUCAAUUUAUCAUAGAUCAAAUAUUUGUCACAUUGCCUCAUUAAUUUUCAAAUAUACCAAUAUAUGUUGAUUGAAACUUUUAAAAUCACUCUACUGCGUGUAUUGAGACUAGCCAGCUGCAAUGUAGUCCAAAUUUAAGUCAGAUUUCAUCUAGUACUAUGUGCAUGAAUGGUACUCAUUUUAUUAUUAUAUUAUAUUUGUACAUUAUCAAAUUGUAACAUUGUUAUAAAAUAUACAUAAAUAAAAGGAGUAUUGUAAAUUGGUGCUGUUGUAAAUUUCACCAUAGUUUCUGUCAUUGCCACCAUAAUUUUUGCUAUUGCCAUCAUAAUUUUUGUUAUUGCCACCACAAUUUGCUACUCAUUUGGUAUAUGUAUAUAUUAUUUUAAUAUAUUUUUUUGUUUGUAUUUCUAAUGUGUUAUUCUUUUUCUAAAUUAUAUAGAAAGUAAAAUUAUUUUCUAUAAAAAAUAAGUAAAAAUUAAUAUAUAUAUAUAUAUAUAUAUAUAUAUACAUUUACACAUAUUUCAUUAAAAUUUGGGAAAAUAUCAGAUAUGCCCCUAAAAUUUGCUAAAAUAUCAAGAAUACUCCUGUAUUGUUGAUAAUAUCAAAUAUACCUGCCUUUUGUAAUAAUUGCAAAAACGUCCUUUGAAAUGAUAACCUAUCAAUUUCCUGGUUUUUUAGUUUGAACUGGGGCCUAACCGCGACACUUUUCCUCACUUUCUGGGUCUUCCACUAAAUGAAUACCCCCUCCCCCGCUGCCGUCGUAUAUUUUUCGGCAGUGUACUUGAGGAAGGGAGCACAAAGGAGAAUCGUGGAUCCCUGAAACUUCAGCAGACACUAGAAACUGAAUAUCUCACACACAAGAUUGCUAUCGUCGUAAACGCGACGCAGUUCACAAUGAAUUUCGAACUGAUCGGCCAUCUAUGUUGGGAAGUGCCUUCACGAGCUCAAUUGCGUUUGUUUGUACUAUGCGAUGCAGUCAUCAUCCAACAACUCCGUAGUAGGCAGGAUACUACAUUGUUUGCGCCAACUCGAUGCGAGAUAAGUAUCUCGCGGGCCUCACCGUUUCACAACUAGCACGACGACAGCAACGUGAGCUCUAGCAGCGUCGGAGAUUCAGAUCCAGUUGGUGGUCGAUUAGAAUCAGCUAGUGCUUUGUCGUGGAAACGGGCAUCGGAUUUGGACUACAUUGCAGCUGGCUAGUCUCAAUACACGCAGUAGAGUGAUUUUACAACACGACGACGCAAUCGAACCUCCAACACGGUUCAAUUUUUGAUGCAUGGGAGAUAUUGAUCACCUUCUGGAUUCGUUGCCAACUUGUUGGUCUGAUUAGAAAUUGUAGUCGACAUCAGACUUGUGAAUCCAUGAAAACUAUACUCCAUGAAAUUUUGAGCUGGAAUCAAGUGUCAUCUUGUACUUGACAUCUUAUUCUAUGGUCGCCAAGUCCGUGAGCAGCAGCUAUUUGCUGUCUUUGAGCUUAAGUGGGCUUAGGGUAUGUGCCCAUGGUGGCAAACGAAAUCAUCAUCUGCACAAAACCCUUGCAUCUCACUCUCAGAGUCUGAUUUCUUCAAGAGCUUUACUAGAAAAGUGCAUGUGCAACUUAAAUGGCGCUUCAAACUUGCUUAGGGCCUCAACAUGAAUUCUCAGCAUCUUAGAGAGUUCCUGCAGCUUACAACUAGACCCUCUUCCAAAAUCGUGGAAGUUAUUUCUUUGGAUUUGUUCACAUGGAGGUUCCCAAAGCCUCUAUUGUUGAAUCCUUCCAUUAAGAUUCCUUGUUUGAAUCCAUGUCUACAAUGCAAUACUUGUAACCAUAUUACCAGCUCUGCUGAAAGAAUUGGAGGAUGGUUGAAGAUAUCCGUGGCUUUGAAUUAGUGGUUUUGCAAGACUAAUGCUUUUUCAAGGACAUGGAGAACUGGGGAUGUACUCUUAGGAUCAACUUGUGAGCAAGGAGGGUUGUUCUGCCCAUAAUUUAGUCUCACGCUACACAAGUUUUUGCUAUUUCAACUCCUUUACUUUUCUUUUUUGAAAAUUUAAAAAUUCUUUAAAAUCAGGUCUUGGUGUCAAGUAUGUCUGCACAUUUGCCUGGGCAACAUCAUCCCAUAUUGAGUUUUAGGCCCAACUUAUUUUACUUUUACUUUUUAUUACUUUUUCAUUUGGUAGAGAAGGAAAAACAAGGUUAACAAACAUGGGAGCAAGCCUAAUAAUAUGUAGAGCCUUAAAUUGCAAAUGGCAUUGAACUUAUAUACUGUUAGAUCCCAUUUGAUAUAGCAUUUAUGGAAUAGUAGUUUGUUGAAUUUUUUUUCGUAAUUGUAAAAAUCAAAUCAUCUUAAAUUAAAAUUUAUUUUUUAAUAUGUGCUUAAUUAAUUAAAUCAUAUUCAAUAAUUAUGACUUAUUAGGAAUUAUUCAUUAGGAUUUAUGCAAAACGUAAUGACCAAAUAUACUUCAUUUAGUUUACUCACAAAAAAAUCAAAAGAAUCAAAACUAAAAUUAAGUUUAAGGCUAAAGAAUUCAUAAAAUUAUUAACAUCAAAAAGUUCCAAGCAGUUCAAAGAAGUAGGCUAAGUAAACAAAAAAUAAUCUUAUAGUCUUUAUUGAUGUUGGCUUAUUUGAUGUAUAUUUAAUUAAGUUUUUUUAGAAAACUCUAAUUAUUUAUCUAAGUAUAAUUCUAUUUUUAUUUAAUAUUAUAUUUCUCCCUACCCAAGAAUAGUUCCAUCAAUACAUUAAAUUGAUUUCAAGAUAUAUAUUUUUUUUCUAGAUCUUUUUGUUUAUUUAUAUUUCAUAAAAACCACAUUUACUCAUAAAAGCUUUUCUAUAUGAAUUUUUAAGUGUGCUUGUUCCACUUAGAGUUACUUUAAAAAAUCCAUUGUAUUUCUUUAAAUCUAUAUUAUUUAUUAGUAUAUUAUUUUUAGAAAUAACUAUGUAGAUUUGAAUCUUUUUAAAUUUGAGAUUUUUUUUUAGUAAUUUUUCUUUUGUUUCUAAGAUAAUGCUUUCCAAGACUUCCAUACCAUAGAAUAAUUAUUAAUUUUUUAAAAUAAAGAAUACAAUGAAGUUAAACUAUAAAAAUAUAAAAUAUCAUAUCUUCAGAUAGAAACACUAACUAGCAUUGUUAGACUUACAACUAAGAAAGUUUUAUAUUCUUAUUCUUAACUUUGUAUUAAUUUAUCUUAAAUAAUUUUAUGAACAAUUUUUUAAGAACUUUAUUCUUAACAUCUAAUAAAAUUAAGAUUGUAUUCUCAAACAUAUGUUAAGACCAUCAAAAUUAAUGUAAAAAAUAAAAAUAAUAAAAAAUUCAAUGAUUCAAAAAAUAAAAUAGGAAUAUUAUGAAUUAAUUAUAACUUUAUUAACUAAUUUAAACUAUAUAUAUAUAUAUAUAUAUAUAUAUAUAUAUGUAUAUUUUGAAUUGAAGUAUUAUAAAAAGAAAAAUUAUACCUUCAAAUCUAUCCAAGUAUACAAGUAGAAUAUUACUCGUAUCAAAAUUAUAUUUUGCUUUACAUUGUCUAAGCUAUUUAUUUUAAAAUAUAAUGUAUUAUAAUAGAAUAUAAGUUAUUUUUCAUAAAUCUAAUAAAUUAUAUAUUUGGAUUAAAAUAUAUCUAAUACUAAUAUUAAAAAAAAUUAUUAUAUGCAAAACUAUAAUUUAGCCACCUUUACUUUAUUCCAACACUAAUUAAAUAAUUAUCACAUCAAUAUUUUGGCAAUUUGACAACCAAGUAUGUUUAAUAUAGUAUUUUUCUUUAAUACAAUUAUAUAUAAAAAACUUGUGCCAAUAAAGUUAAAUCAUACUAUUUUAUAUCUUAUUUUAAAUAUAUAAAAAUUAAAUAAAAUUUAUUUUCCAUUAGACAUAUAUAUAUAUAUAUAUAUAUAUAUAUAUAUAUAUAUAUAUAUAUAUCUAUAUAUGUAUGCAUAUAUAUAUGCAUAAAUAUAGAAAUUUAAACAUCUAAUUUAAAGUUUAAUGUAAAAAAAUAAAAAAAUACUUUGUAUAGGUAAUUUGUCAUAUGAUUACAUUACUUCAAGUUUUUUUGCUAUACCUAAAAAAAAUUAAUCAAUGUAGCUGCACUUAAUUAAUUUUUUUUUAUUAUACUUAAUAAAAAAAUUAUAUAUUUUUUUAUUGUAAUUCCAAAAUUUAAUAGAAAUUAUUUAAUAAAAAAAUAUAUAAUUUUUUAUUUGACUUUCAAUAUUAUUAUAAUUUGAUUCAAAAUAUAUCUAUUGAAAAAAAAAAUCAAACAUCACAUGAAGUUAUAUGUCAAUGUUGGAACAAAAUUUGUUCCUUAUAAGUUAAGAAAUUAUACCUAAUACUCUUGUAUCAACUACAUCUAAACAUUCUUUUGGCUAUUCCAAUAUCUUCUAUAUAAAUGUAAUGCUUCUUUAGGUGGUUUGAUGGAUAUUAUAUUAAGGGCAAUAGGAUUGAAGCAAGAUCAAUUUCAUUAUUGCUUGGUUUUAUCCAAUACUCAAUAGAUGGUAUUGAGAUGAUGGUUAUUGCAUAGAUUAUUUGUUGGACUUCAAUAAUAUGAAAGUAAGCAAUGUAGUUGGCAAUAGGUUUCUAAAUGAAUAGCAUAAUGCUAAUUGCAUGCACAUAUGGGAUCUAGAUAGCUUAUAUUAUUUACAAGUAUAUGUGUGGUUUUAAAAUCCAAAACAUUACAUGAUUGCUUUGACAAGUAUUCAAAGAUUGUAUUAAAUAAAAGAAUGAUAUGAUACCUAUGUGCAAAUGUCUGUGAUCAUUUGAUCUACAGUUGUGUACUUGUUGACAAUGGUCCAAUAAUUGUGUUAGCCAUGAUAUGUCAUUUAUUGUAUAAUGCUAUGAAUUGGUGGCAAAUUAUUCCUAGUAUUAGAAUUAACGGCAUCUUACAUACUUUUAAGAUCUAAGAGUUUAGAGAUUCAAAGUCCUAUGGCCAAAUCAUUUUUUGUUAAAUUUUGACAAUGCUUAAUAUUCUAGUUUAAUACUAAUGAAGUACUUUGUAGCUUUUUUUAAAUACAAUCUAGACUUUUGAGAGUUUGAUAUUAAAAUCAAAAAUAAUUAAUAUUUAUGAUAUUGUCUAAAGAUAUUAUAUAAGUAUUAGAUUCUUAAAUUGCUAUUGGAAGUUUUUAGUAAAAUGAUACAUAUAGAAUACAUGUUUGUAUGUUAGUGUCAAGGACAUGAAUUGGAAGAAGAUGCAUAAACUUAAAAAAUCUAUAUUAAAAAAAAAUAAAAAAAUAGCAAUAAAAUAGUAUGUAUAUUAAAAAGAAACUGAAAUGGCUAUUGCCAAAAAACAAGGAAAUUAGAGACUCUUAAAUCUAGAUUAGAAGCAAGAAAAGAGUUGAUAAGAGUGAAGAAGGCUUCACUCUUGCUUCUAUAUAUACUAUCUAACUAGGAACUAUGUGGUGAUACUUUAUAGGACCUCUAAUAUGUAUUGACUUUACAAGAUACAUGUCUUAGCUUACAAAGCAAGUUUUUUAUAUAUGAGCCUGAUAGUUAGCUUAUUCUUCAAGCUACCAACAUAUAUGGCAUAUAGCCAACUUGUUGAUCAUGUUUCUAAUCUAAAAAGUCAAUUAUAGAUAUCUAUUAAAGACAUGAACUCCAAAGAAAGAUAAUCUCAAUACACUCUUGUGUCACUCGAAAAUACUUAGAAAUCACUCAAAGGUGAUAAUAUAUUGAACUAGAAUGGCUAUUGCCAAAGACUAGAAAAUAUGAUGACUCUUGAAACUAGACUAGAAAUAAGAAAGAAGUUGAUAAGAGUGAAGAAGGCUUCACUCUUGUCUCUAUAUAUACUAUCUAACUAAGGGCUAUGUGGCAAUGUUCUAUAGGACCUCCAAUAUGUGUUGACUUUUUAGGACACUUGCCUUGACUUACAAGGCAAGUUUUUUUAUGUGUGGGCCACAUAGUUAGCUUGGUCUUCAAACUAACAACAUGUGUGGCACAUGGCCAACUUGUUGACCACGUUUCUAAUCCAAAAAGUCAAUUAAAGAUUCCUAUGAAGUCAAAGUAGUAUCUAUGAAGCUUCUAAGAAGCUUUUAUACCAAAUACUAUAGAAUUAAUUUAUUUUUAUCUACUUUUACUUACUUCUACUUAUUUAUAUAUGUAAUAAUUGACUUACAUGAGUAUGUCUAUGACAUUACCCUUCCUUCUAAGGACAAGUUCCAUGAGGAGCGGUCAUCAUAUGUUGAAGAAAUCUAUGAUGUGACAAAUUAUAUUUGCCACAUACUCUGAUCUUUGUUCUUUUCAAAGAUGAUUGAUAGGGCCUCUCAACCAUCGAUAGUGUCCCAUACUAGAGUGAGAAGACCACCCAGUUAUUUGGUCAUUGUUGAAGCCUUCUUAAUUUCCUUCGAAUAAAAUAUUUGGAAUACCAUUAAGAGUUGUUCCUACCUCUAAUAAAAUCAUCAAACAUCGGGAGUUCCUUCCAAGGUCGUGAUACCAAACGCAUUGUAUCUCGCCAUCUAUUUGAGGAAGAACAUAUCGUUCUUGAAGAUCUUCAUCUCGAUUGCGUUGUCUUGAAGGUUGAGACAAUUGUAAUGUUUCGUUCGACAGAUCAGCAAAUAAAGGCUCUUGAGUAAAAUCCGCUAGUUUUUGGUUCUUCAUCUCUUUAGCAUCACAAUUGCAAGGAAGCUACAAACAAGGAUUGAAAGUAGAAUGUUAUCUUGUCUAGAUCUUGUUUCUUUUAUAAAGAAGAUUUUUAUCUUGGUUUUGAUAGAUAUCGUUGAUGAAAAGACUCCAUCACCUUUUUUGUAUUUACAAGAUUCUUUAUUGGCUCUCAUGUGUGUUCACUAAUAUCAUAUCCGUGCCAAUGGAUAAGAUAUUCUAAUUUAUUUUGGUGCUGCCUUAAAUUUAAGACUUCUUCUACUUCAAAUUCUUCAUUAUUGUCCACUUCUAUAGGAAGAGGUGGAGCUUGUCUUCUUCUUGGUAUGUCCAUUGUCUUGUAUGGUUCAAGAAGAGACAUGUGGAAUACUGGAUAGAAUUUUAUUGACUCCGAUAGAUGUAAACGAUAUACAAUUGGAUUAAUUUGUACAAAAAUAGAAAAUGAUCUAAACCUUCGAUAGUCCAACUUGUCACAAGGACGAGUAGUCUUGAUAUUGCGAUGAAAUAACCAUACCUUAUCGCCCAUGUAGAAUGGUGGUUGUUCCUUUCGAUAGACAUCCACAUUUAUCUUUUGUCAUUCUUGAGCUUCUUUUAAUUACGCCUUUAUUGUUGCAUGUAACUCUGACAACCGAUUUUCCAUAUCUUCUGCCGCAGGAUUAUCAACUUUUGAGAAAAUAAACAUGUGAAGUCAUGGAUGAUAACCAUAAUUGGUAAAGAAAGGUAUUUGUUGCAUAGAAGAAUGCACCGUAUUAUUAUAAGCAAACUCUACCAAUGGCAGAAGAGUUGUCCAAUUAUCUUGUUGAUAGUUGAUGAUACAUCUUAAGUAAUUUCCAAGACUUGAUUUACGUGCUCUGUCUGUUCAUUAGUUUGAGGAUGAAAAACCAAAGAUAGUUUUAUAUCCGCUUGUAAAAUCUUAAAAAGGGUUCUCCAAAAUCUUGAUACAAACUGAGUUCCACUAUAUGAUAUAAUAUCUUUUGGUAAUCCAUGAUAGUGAUAGAUAUUGUCAAUAAAAAGCUUAGCUAUUUCUUCACCCAUGAUGGAUUUUGUAUAUGAUACAAAAUAUGCCAUCUUGGUGAAGCGAUCUACUAUCACAAAUAUAGAGACAUAAGAACGUGAGCUUAAAAGAUCUGUGAUGAAGUCCAUAGAAACAGAAGACCAUGGUUGUUCUGGAAUGGAUAAUGGUUGAAGAAGUCCAAAAGGUCGAUGAUGAGGAGUUUUUGAUCUUGAGCAAACAUUACAUGAUUGUACAAAAUCUUUGACUGCCUUCCACAUUUGAGGCCACCAAAAAUCCUAAAUAUCAGCUCUAUAGUCUUAUUGUAUCCAAAAUGUCUUGCUGCUGAAAAGUCAUGAUGAACUUGAAGAACAUGUAAACGUGCUUCUCCUUCUGGAACAUAUAGGCAUCCUUCGAAAUAGAGUAGGUUGUUUUUGAACUCGAAUUUAGAGGGAUCAUGAGAUUUAGAAGAAUUAUUCUUGAUAUCGUGAACAAGAGGGUCUGAAGACAUACUUAACUAGACUUGCUUAAGAAAAGUUAAAUCAACAGUCAAUGUUGAUUUUAUUGCUUGAAGAUGAAAUUGCUUUGGCUUCAAGAGAAUUGUUCUUUGUUGCUCAAAAGCUGCAUCUCCUUCUUAUGGUACAAGAUAAGAAUAUCUAAACAAGGCAUCGAACAAACCUUAUUGUUUUCUUAGUCGAUAAGUGAUGAUGAACUCGAAUCUUGAUAAAGACAUGCUCCAACGAGCUUGACGAUGAUUUAAUAUGCAUGCUGAUAAGAAAUACUUGAGAUUCUUAUGAUUUGUAUACACGGUGAUUGGACUUGAGGUGCCUUCUAGAUAAUGACGCCAUUCUUGAAAUGAAUCCACAAUUACAAGAAGCUCUUUAUUGUAGAUUUCAGAGUUAAUCUCGACUGCUAAAAAUUUCUUAGAAUGAAAAGUUAUUGGAUGGAGCUUGUCAUUUGCUCCCAUUUAUGACAAAACGGCACCCAAGGUAAAGUCUGAUGCAUCUAUUUCCAUAAAAAAUUCCUCGGAGAAGUCGACGCAAUACAAGAUUGGUGCAGAAGUAAAUUCUUUCUUUAAAGCAUCAAAUGCUACUUCAACUUUUUUAUUCUACUCAAAUUUGUCUUUACAAAUCAAAUGCGUAAGUGGAGCUGCAACUUGAAAAAAGUUCUUAAUGAAGAUUCGAUAGUAAUUUGUAAAGCCCAAAAAACAUUGCACAUCUCGUAUUAUUCUUAGAAUCUUCCAAUCUAUGAUAGUUUGGACCUUCUUGGGAUCCAUCAUCAAGCCUUCGUUGGAAAUGAUGUAUCCUAAAAAGUCAACUUGAGUAAUGUAGAAUAUACACUUUUCCAAUUUGGCAUAUAAUUCCGCAUCUCUUAGUUUUUGUAACACACGACGAACAUGGAGUUCAUGUUCUUCUGUGUUCUUAGAGUAGAUUAGAAUGUCGUUUAAAUAACAAAUGACAAAAUCAUCUAAAAACUAACGAAAAACAUCAUUCAUAAGAUGUUGAAAAGUACUUGGUGCAUUUGUGAGUCCAAAAGACAUGACAUUAUAUUCAAAAUGUCCAUACCUAGUUCAAAAAACAGUCUUCCAUUCAUCUCCUUCUUUGAUGCGGACAACGUUGUAUGCUCCUCGUAGAUCUAUUUUUGUGUAGAUCUUUGCUUGAUUGAGUUGAUUAAAAAGUCCUGAAAUCAAAGGUAAAUGAUACCUGUUUUUGAUAGUGAUCUUGUUAAGGCCCCGUUAGUCUAUGCAUAUCCAUAGAGAUCCAUCUUUUUUCUUCACAAAUAAGAUCAACGCUCCUGUUGGAGAUUUUGAAUGGCGUAUGAAGUUUUUAGCCAAGUUCUUGUCAAUGUACUCCUUUAGUACAGCCAAUUCGUUUUGUGAUAAGCUAUAGAUUGGUCCAAAUGGCGGUUGAGCUCUUUCUUGAAGAUCAAUUGAACAAUCAUAAGGUCUAUGUUCUAGAAGAAUAUCUGCAUUCUUCUUCUCAAAAAUAUCUUGGAAUUCUUGAUAUUGACUAGGAAUACCACUUGAUAUCUUCUUACUAACUGAAAUGGACAUGGCAUAUAUAGCAAAAGAUGACCCUUCUUUGGCUGCAUGCAUGAAAGCUCUUGUCCCUACUAGUAAGCGCUUAGAUGCACUAGACUUAUGUAUUUCUUCUUGAUUAAUAGAAUUUCGAAAUAAAUUACUAAGAAAGUUAAGGUUACGAGAAAUCCAAUCUAUCUGAGGGUUGUACUUUUUAACCAAGAUAGUCCUAAAAUGAUUGGAUUCAAAGGAGAUCGUAUCACAUUAAAUAUUACUAUACUAUUAUGAUCUUUAAUUACUACAUCUAAAAGAAUAGUCUCAUGGAUAACAUCACUAAAAGACAACGAAUGACCAUCUAUGACUUCCACAUGUACGGGUUUGAUUUUCUUGACUAAUGAUAUUUCUUAUUUUUUGACAAAGUCUUUGUCUAUGAAACAAGCUGAGGCUCUUGAAUCUAAUAAUGCAAAGACUUUAUGAUUUUUGGAUCCUAAACAUACAUUUAUUAUAAAACAAGGUGAGGGAUCUGAGGAGAGAAUAGGACCUUGACUAGGUGUUGCACAUGGUUCCAAUCGCACGGUCCCUAUUAUAGCUGGAAGAACUCAUUUUCCAAUACAUUGUCUUCUUUUGCAAUUGUACUCUUCAUUUUGUGAUUGCGUUGCUUCCUUGGAUAAUGUUGAGCAGUGUGUUUAGCUUCUCCGUAAUAUAGACAUAAGCCCUCUUGUUAUCGUCGAGUCUUUUUCUGCUCCGUGAGGUGUUUAAAAUGUAUUGUAUCAAUUUGCAUUGGCUCUGGCCUUGAUGGAAAGAUUUCCAAAAACUUAGAAGGUGUUGCCAUAACUUGAUUUAUUCCUCUCCAGCCAUAUCUUUAUUCUUGAUGUCUUUCAAAUAAAUGAUUAUCACAUGCAAUAGCUUGAGUAAUGAAUUGUUAUAAAGAAUCUGUUUUUGGCAUUGUCAAUAAAAAAUCUUUGAUAUUAUCCUUUAAUCCAUAGCAAAAUUGAUUGAUGAGGGCUUUAUCAUUCCAACCCACAUCACAAGCAAGACUUUGGAAUUGAGCGACAUAUGUGGUGGCUGAACAUGAUCCUUGUCGUAGUGAUACAAGCUUGGUCUCUGCUAUCAUUUCUCGAUCACUUUCUCCAAAUGUAGCCAUAAAUACUUCCAAGAAUGAGUUCAAAUCAUAGAAUAGUCAUGAAUCUUUUUCCAUCAAAGGUGCAAACCAAGAGAGAGCACUUCCACAUAGAAGUGCACCUAUGAAUCUAACUUGAGUAAAUCCAUGAGGGUAUUAGAAAGGAUGCAAUCUUAAGUAGAGUUUAACUUGUUGCAAAAACCCUCGGAAUUUUGAUCUUGGUCCGUCAAACUUUUCAGGCAUACUAAUCCUUGCCUCUUUCAAGCUUGUAGAAGCAAAAUUCCUUGAAUUUGGUUGCGAGGCUAAUCGACUUGUUUCCUUCAACUGCACAACUUCUUGGCGUAGACUCUAAACUUCUUCCAUAGUAGUAGGAAUAGUGCUUCCAUGGUUGGUGUUGGUGAUGCUUGAAAUUUCGAUCCUAAGAGUAUUAACAAGCUCAUGAAGAUCUGCAAUAGUUGCAAAUCUAUUUUUCACUUCCACCAAGUAUAGCAUCCAUGAUUUUUCCUUCCAUAGACAACUCAAAUAAAUUCAAAAGUUAAAUAAGAGGAAGAUAAUCCGCAACCUAUAAAAACAAAUUCCACAAAGAGUGAUAAUCUACUCUCUUUAAGGAAAAGAUCAAUGUUAGAAAACAAGAUUUUUUGUUUAAAGGUAGGUAGUCCACAACCUUCAAAAUACAAUAAUAGAAGUGAGGUAAUCCACUCACUUCAGAAAUAAUAUGUUAGCACUCUUGUCAAACUAUCAAGGACAUAAACUUCAAAGAAAGAUAAUCUCAAUACACUCUUAUGUCACUUGAAAAUACUCAGAAAUCACUCAAAGGUGAUAAUAUAUUAAACUAGAAUGGCUAUUGCCAAAGUCUAGAAAAUAUGACGACUCUUGAAACUAGAUUGGAAAUAAGAAAGGAGUUGAUAAGAGUAAAGAAGGCUUCACUCUUAUCUCUAUAUAUACUAUCUAACUAGAAGCUAUGUGGCGAUGUUCUAUAGGACCUCCAAUAUGUGUUGACUUUUUAGGACACUUGCCUUGACUUACAAGGCAAGUUUUUCUAUGUGUCGGCCACAUAGUUAGCUUAGUCUUCAAACUAACAACAUGUAUGGCACAUGGUCAACUUGUUGAUCACGUUUCUAAUCCAAAAAGUCAAUUAAAGACACCUAUGAAGUCAAAGUAGCAUCUAUAAAGCUUCUAAGAAGCUUUCAUACCAAAUACUAUAGAAUUAAUUUACUUUUAUCUACUUUUACUUACUUCUACUUAUUUAUAUAUGUAAUAACAAGCUUAUAUGAAUAUGUCUGUGAUAAUAUCUAUAAAAUCAAAGCAGCAUCUAUAAAGCUUCUAGGAAGCUUUUAUAGAAGAUAUUAUAGAAUUAACCUACUUUUAUCUUUUUUUAUUUAAUCAUAUAGAUAAUUAUUGGUUUACAUGUGUAUGUCCGUGACAUUAUCCUCCCUUCUAAGGAUGAGUUCAACAAAGAGCAAUCUUCAUAUGUUGAAGAACUCUAAGAUGUGACAAAUUAUAUUUGCCACAUACUCUGAUUUUUAUUUUCUUCAAAGAUAGUUGAUAGGCCCUCUUAGCCAUUGAUAGUGUCCCAUAUCAAGGCAAGAAGACCAUCCUAUUAUUUGGUCAUUGUUGAGGCCUUUGUACCUUCUUUCAAAUAAAAUAUUUGAAACAUCGUUAGGAGUUGUUCUUACUUCUAAUGAAAUCACUAAACAUCGGGAGUCUCUUUUAAUGUCGUGAUACCAAAUACAUUGUAUCUCAUUGUCUAUUCAAGGAAGGACAUGUUAUUCUUAAAAAUCUUCAUCUUGAUUUCAUUGUCUUGAAAGUUGUAACAAUCACAAUGUCUCAUUUGGUAAGUCUGCAAAUGAAAUCUCUUGAGUUGAAUUUGCUAGUUGUUGGUUUUCCAUCUCUUUUAAGUCAAAAAUAUAAAAAAGCUACAAAGAAAAAUAGAAAAUAGAAUGCAAUCUUUCUUGGACCUUGUUUCUUUUAUAGCAAAGACUUAUUAUUUUUCAUCUUGGUUUGAAUAGAUAUCAUCUUUCAUUCAAACUUUAGGCGAAAAACUAAUUAAAUCUUAAAUCUUAAACAAAUCCUAAUAAAAUCCAAAAUCCUAAACCAAAUCCUAAAUCAAAUCCUAAUCAAAUCCUAAAUCCUAAAUCAAAUCCUAAUCAAAUCUUAAAUCCUAAAUCCUAAAUCAAAUCCUAACCAAACCUUAAAUCCUAAAUCAAACCCUAAAUCCUAAACCAAAUCUUAACCAAAUCCUAAUCUUAAAUCAAAUCCUAAUCAAACCUUAAAUCCUAAAUUAAAUCUUAACCAAUCCUAAAUCAAAUCCUAAAUCCUAACCAAAUCCUAAUCAAAUCCUAAAUCCUAAUUAAAUUCUAAAUCCUAAACCAAAUCUUAAUCCUAAAUAAAAUCUCAAUCAAAUAUUAACUCUAAAUCAAAUCCUAAUCAAAUCCUAAUCUUAAAUCAAACCCUAACCAAAUCCUAAUCCUAAAUCAAAUCCUAAUCAAAUUCUAACCAUAAAUCAAACCCUAACCAAAUCCUAAUCCUAAAUCAAACCCUAAUCAAAUCUUAAACCAAAUCCUAGUAAUCCUACAAUAGAUUUACACCUCAAUUACUAAUGAAUGAACCGUUGAUCUUAAUUCAAAAUUUUCAUGCUUUUUAACAAUUAAGUUAAAAACAAGUACAAAAAAAAUUGAAAAGAAUCGGAGUUACCAGAUAGACGAUAGCCUCAAAAAUAUGCUUGGAUAUUGACUGGCCUCCUUCUCUAACCUUAAUGCCAAUCUCCUAGAGCCAAUAUCUCCUUUUUUCACUAUUUGAUUGAUCUCAAAAUUCUCAUAUAUAUAGAAAAAUAAGUCUAAUAUCCUCUCACAUAAAUUUCACUCCAAUCCAACUAGUAGAUUGUAAGAAAUCUUAAAAAUCUUCACUAGACUUAAAAUUCUACUUUGAGACCUUAACCCGCUUAAACCUCAAUAAUCUUUAAUUCAAUCGUUAGAUCAAGCUAAGAUUCACAAUACAUAUUAAGCACAACUAUUACCAUUAAUCUAAAAAAUUUCAUCCAUAGAUCUAUUAUGAAACUCUUGAAAUCACUAGAAACGUCAAUCCUAUUUUGUUUCACAAAAUCCAAGUCAUCUAAAAACAAUCUUGAUUUUGUAAAGCUCUUACAAACUCAUAACAACUCCAAAUCAUCCAAAACCAAUGCUCAUAGAAACCUCAUCUAGUUUGCUAUCAAAGUCCACUCUUUAAUCUGCACAAGAAUCUCCAAGUUGCUGUAGGUGCUUGAUUUUGUGCCUCAAGAUCUGAUUUCAACCCAAGUUGCUAACCGGCCCUCCUUAGGUAUCAAUAUCUAAUUUUUUCAGGUAAUUUUUACUAGAAUUUUCUUUUAACUUCCUCCUAAAGAUAUGUGUAUUAUUUAUUUUUUCAAUCUACCUUAUUAUGCCUUAUUUAUGGCCCUAUAAAGUAAAUAGAAGUCACUUUUGUAAAAAGUCAGUACUACUACUAAAAGUUUUAUUACCUUCCUAUCUUUUAUCUAUAUUUUUCUACUUUAUCUUUUAACUUGGCUCUUUUAUAAUAAGAUCCAUAUUAUCAUCUUUCACCAUACAGUCAUAUUACAAUACAACAACUUGGAAGACAUGAUGGAUCUUCAUUGCCUUUGGUAGAUGUAAUUGAUAAGUAAUAAGAUUGAUUUGUCCACAAAUAGGAAAAGGUUUAAGCUUAUUAUAGUUUAACUUAUAACAAGAAUAAGUAGUCUUGAUAUUAUGAUAAAACAACCAUACCUUUUUACCUACAUUGAACUAUGGUUGUUUCUUUUGAUAGGCAUCUGCAUUGAUCUUUUAUUGUUCUUGAGCUUCCUUUAAUUGCACCUUCAUUGUUGCAUGUAGCUCUAACAAAUAAUUUAUCAAACAUUUUGCUGCAAGAUUAUCAACUUUUGAAAAGCCAAAAAUAUCAAGUCGUGGAUGGUAACCAUAAUUGACAAAAAAAGAUGUUUUUUGUAUACAAGAAUGCAUUGUAUUAUUAUAAGCAAACUGUGCCAAUGGCAAGAGGGUUCUCUAAUUAUCUUGUUGAUAAUUGAUGGUACACCUUAAGUAUUGCUUGAAAACUUGGUUUAUGCGUUCUAUUUGUCCAUCAAUUUGAGGAUGAUAAGCCAAAGAAAGCUUUAUGUUCACCUUUAAAAUCUUAAAAAGAAUUCUCUAAAAUCUUGAUACAAAUUGAGUCCCCCUAUUCAAUAUAAUAUCUUUCAGCAAUCUAUGAUAUCAAUACAUAUUGUCAAGAAAAAGCUUAGUAAUUUCUUUACGUGUCAUAGAUUUUGUGUAUCGUACAAAAUGUGCCAUUUUGAUAAAAUGAUCUACUAUCACAAAUAUAGAAUCAUAUGAUCUUGAGACUAGAAGAUCUAUAAUAAAUUCCAUAGAAAUAGAAGACCAUAGUUGUUUUGGAAUAGAUAAUGGUUGAAGAAGUCUAUAAGGUCGAUACUAAGGAGUUUUUGACCUUCAACAAAUGUCAUACAAUUGAACAAAGUUUUUUAUAGCCUUCCAUAUUUAUAGCCACCAAAAAUCUUUAGAUAUUAAUUUCAGAGUCUUCUUGUAUCCAAAAUGUCAUACUGCUGGAAAGUCGUGAUGUGCUUGAAGAAUACAUAAAUAUGCUUCUUCUUGUGGUACAUAUAGGCAUCCUUCAAAAUAAAGUAGGUUGUUUUUAAAUUCAAAUUUAGAAGUAUCACAAGAUUUAGAAGAAGUAUGCUUGAUAUCAUGAAUAAGAGGAUCAAAGAACAUACUUGACUAAAUUUGAUUGAAAAAAGUUGAAUCAACAAUAAAUGUUGAUUUCACUACUCAAAGAUGAAAUUAUUUUGGCUUCAAUAAAAUUAUCCUUUAUUGAUCAAAAGUUGCAUCUUCUUUUGUAGCUGUAAGAUAAGAAUGUCUAGAAAGGGCAUCAGGUAGACCUUGUUGUUUUCUUAGCCAAUAAGUGAUAUUAAACUCAAAUCUUGACAAGGCAUGCUCCAAUAAGUAUGGCAAUAAUUCAAAAUAUGAAUUGACAUGAUAUACUUGAGAUUCUUGUGAUCCAUAUACACAAUAACUGCAUUAGAUGCAUCUUCUAGAUAAUGAUGUGAUUCUUGAAAAGAAUCAAUAAUUGCAAGAAGCUCUUUGUCAUGGAUCUCAUAGUUAAUCUUGGUUGCUGAAAAUUUCCUAGAAUGAAAAACUAUUAGGUGAAGUUUAUCCUCUAUUCAUAUUUGUGAUAAUACAGCAUCCAAAGCAAAGUUCAAUGUGUAACCUAAGAAGUCAACUUGAAUAAUGUAGAAUAUACACUUUUCUGUUUUGGCAUAGAAUUUUACAUCUUUUAAUUUUUGUAACACAUAACAAAUAUGAAGUUCAUAUUCUUCUAUAUUCUUUGAAUACAUCAAGAUAUCAUCUAAAUAAUAGACAACAAAAUCAUCCAAAAAUUCUCAAAAAACAUCAUUUAUAAGAUGUUGAAAAGUUGGCGGUGUAUUCGUAAGUCCAAAAGGCAUGUUAUUAUAUUCAAAAUAUCUGUACCUGAUUCAAAAUACAGUCUUCUAUUCAUCUUUUUUUUUAUGCAUACCAAAUUAUAUGUUCUUUGUAGAUCUAUUUUUGUAUAGAUCUUAGCUUGAUUCAACUUAUUAACAAGUCUAGAUAUUAAAGAUAGUAGGUACCUGUUCUUGAUGGUGAUCUUGUUGAGUCUUCAAUAAUCAAUACACAUCUGCAAUGAUCCAAUUUUUUUCUUCACAAAUAGAAUUGAGACUCAUGCUAGAGAUUUGAAAUGGCAUAUGAAGUUCUUGACUAGAUUUUCUUCAAUAUACUCCUUGAGUUUGACUAAUUCAAUUUGUGAUAAAUUAUAGAUUGGUCCAAAUGGCAGUUGUGCUUUUUUUUGAAGGUUAAUUGAAAAGUCAUAGGAAUUAUAUUUUGGAAGACUAUCCACAUUCUUUUUCUUGAAUACAUCUUGAAAAUCGUGAUAUUGGCUUAGAAUAUUACUUGAACUCUUUACACGAUUAGAAAUGAAUGUGGCAUAAAUGACACAAAAUGAUCUUUCUUUUGUAGCAUGCAAGAAAGAUCUUGCACCUACAAACAUAAGUUUAAUUGUAUUAGACUUGUGAUUUUUUACUUGAUAAAUUACAUUCUUAAUUAUACUUUUAGAAAAGUCAAGAGUACAAAAAAUCCAAUCUACUUGAGGGUUGUAUUUUUCUAACCAUGAUAAACUUAAAAUAAUUAGAUUAAAAAAAGAUCUAAUGAUAUUAAAUACCACAAAGCUAUUAUGACCAUUAGCUAUUACUUCUAUAUGAAGGGUUUUGUGAGUAACAUCUCCAAAAGACAACGGACGACCAUCUAUGACUUUUAUGUGAAUAAGUUUAGUUUUCUUUACUAAAGAUAUGAUAAGUCUUUUAGCAAAUUCUUUAUCUAAAAAAUACGCUAAGGCUUCUGAAUCUAAUAAGGAAGAGGCUUUGUAAUGUAUAGGUCCUAGAAUAAUAUUUAAUAUAAAAUAAGAAGAGGGUUCUGAGAAGAAAAUAGGACCUUCAUUAGGUAAUGUAUAAGGUUUCAGCUACACUAUUGAACAAACUCGUUUAUUGAUAUAUUAUCUUCUUUGACAUUCAUACUCCUCAUUUUAUAAUUUUAUUGCUUCUUUGAAUAAUGUUGAGAAAUGUAUUUAGAUUCUUCACAAUAUUAGUAGAAUCUUUUUAGAUGGUAAUGAGUCUUUUCUUACUUAGUAAGAGAUUUGAAAUGUAUCACAUCAAUUUACAUAUCCUCUACUUCUAAAUAUAUGUAUUGAAGAGGCAUUGAUAUUGCCAUUGAAUUAUAGUAAUAUUGAAGUCUACUUGUCUGACUUUCAGAUCAAAAUUUAAAAAGUCAAUUGUCACACUUCAUAACAAAAUCAAUUGCUUAACUCAAUGUUUGAAGAUGAGAUAGGUUGAAUAUCAAUUUUUUUACCUCAUAUUAUAAUCUAUAGAAAAAUUGGCUAAUAAAUGCAACAUCAUCCGACUUGAUAUUAGUUGCAAGUUGUCAAAAUUGUGAAGCAUAUAAUAUUAUGAAUUAAUUAUCUUAUCGUAAAAUAUGGAUCUUGUUGGUUGCAACAUGAGUUGCCUCAUGUUUUCUAUACAUGGAUCAAAACUCUACUAAAAAAGCUUCCAAAUUAUCUAAUAUUAGAUCUUGACAUUCAAGAAAAGUUGAAAACUAUGAUAAUAUUGAACUUGAAAGAAGUAUAUCAAUGAAUCUAACUUGUGAUCUUGGAGCUAGAUAGCUUUCGGGUUGAAGUUCAAUCACAGGUUAUACUUGAUUGAUAAAUCUUUGAAACUUGAAUCUUCUGCCAUCAAACUUCUCAAGCAAGGUAAUUCUUGAUUCUCUAGUACCAAAAAGAUGUUCUAGGGUAGAAAAAAGAACAUAAUUAGAUACAAAUGUUGAAGCAACUUCAAUCAUAUCUAUAUCUUUACUUCCUGCUAUUCUUGUUGUUCUUUGUCAUAAUAAACUGAGUUGAUACAUUGCACGCAUUAACUCUCUAAAUUGCCCUUAUAUUUGUACCAUUGUAAUGUUUAUUUCAAUAAUCUUUGCUAUGAUAAUACUUAGAAAAUAAAAUAUCUAAUAUUAUUCAAGAUAAGUAAAGGAUGGGACUUGAAAGCAAAGAAAAUACUAAGAACAAUAUUAGUUUAAAAGAAGGUAAUCUGCAACUUCUAAUACGCUUAUGUCUUAUCAAGAAAAAGAUAUAAUCCAUUCUUAAUUCAGAGAAGACAAAGCUCUAAUAUUAUAAGUGUAUUCUUGUCAAUCUGUUAAGGACAUGAACUUGACGAAGAUGCAUAAACUUGAAAAAUCUCCAUUAAAAAAAAAGUGACAAAAUAACAAUAAAGUAAUAUUUGUAUUAAAAGAAAAUUGGAAUGGCUAUUGCCAAAAGACAAGGAAACUAGAGACUCUUAAAUCUAGACUAGAAGCAAGAAAACAAUUGACAAGAGUGAAGAAGACUUGAGUCUUGCCUCUAUAUAUAUUAUCUAACAAGGAGCUAUGUGGCAAUGCUCUAUAUGACCUCUAAUAUGUGUUGACUUUGCAAGAUACAUGCCUUAGCUUACAAGAUAAGUUUUCUAUGUGUGGGCCUCAUAGUUAGCUUGUUCUUCAAGCUACCAACAUAUGUGGUACAUGGCCAACUUAUUGACUACGUUUCUAAUCUAAAAAAUCAAUUAUAGACACCUAUAAAGUCAAAGCAAUGUCAAUAAAGCUUUUAAGAAGCUUCUAUAGAAGAUAUUAUGGAAUUAACUUAUUUUUACUUACUUUUAUCUAAUCAUAUAGGUAAUUAUUGGUUUAUAAAGGGACAUACAAAGACGAGCUAACUAGAUUAUUAUACAUAUAUGUGUAUAUCCGUGAUAGUUAUAAAUACAAGGUUGACAACAUCAAUGAUACUUUUUUAUUGAUCAAAUAUAAAUGUAAAUUUUAAAAGUUUUUAAUUUAGUAGAUGAUAUGUAAGAAUUUCUAUCUUCAACUUUUACAAGAAUUACAAUCAAUUGUCAUCAUUUUUAGAAUUUAGAAUACUAAAUGCAAUAGAAAAUAGUAUCUCUUCUUUAUCAAUUAUUAUAGUACUUAUAAGUAUCCAAUGGUAUUUUUCAUUUAGAUGGAUAUUAUCUAUACCAAUGACAAGUGAAUAAUAUUAUAAUCCUUAUAAAUUUCUAUUGUACUAAAAAGAAAAAAAUAAAAAAAAGAAAAAAAAAUCAAAGAAUUCAAUUUUUUUCAUUGAUUUUCAAUUAUGAAUAAUUCUUUAAAAAAUUUAUUUUGAUUUGGUAACAAUAUGCUUUCAAGUUGGUAUGAUAAUCUUUAUAAGAACCAAUUAGUUUGGAACCAAUUUUUUUCACUUCCAUGCUUUGUUGUCAAGUAUGAUAUUGUAAUACCUUCAUUAUGUCAAUUAUCUUUUUGGAUAUCCAUAGCCUUGUAUUGUGGUGUGUCUUCCACAUUGUUUUUCAUGUUGCCUACUAUCCAACUCACAUUAGCAUGUUAGUUGUAUAAGUAGUCAGCAUUAAUGUAUGUAUGUUCAAAGACAAAUGUCCAAAUGACAAAUUCACUUGUACAUGAUUGAGAUUGUGAUGCAUAUAGUCUCCAUUUGCAAGUAAUGUUGGAAAUACUCCACAAUGUAUUUUUUUGAAUUGGACUUAAUAAUAGAUGUUUUAUAAUGCCUGUUAAUUGCAUCAUAAAAAAUAGCUUCCUUCAGCUUAUUACUACUACUAAAAACAAUAUCUACAACAAGAACACUUGUCAUUUUGAAGUAUGAUUCUUGUUGGAAAAGUGCCUAAGAAGACAAACUUGUCAAAAAUCCAAAACUUGACAAUUGUCUACAAUGUGCAAGAGUAGGCCAGUUUUCCAAAAAAUACACAAAAGUCAAAGUUUCAAAGGUUUAGUGGCUUCUUUUCAUCACAAGUCAAUGAAAGUCCUUAGCUCAUGGACUCAAAAGCAAUUCUUUGCAUCAAAGACCUGUAGUAUCUCACAUCCUGUUCAAAAAUUUGAUGAAGUUCUGCUUUUAAAACCACUAUUUAAAAUGAUAAAUUCUAUUACUAGGUAAAUUUAUCAUUUUGAAGUAAAUUUUAGUUUACUUUCAGUCAACCUGAAAAUGCAUCAGAGUGAUUGAGUGAGGUGGUUGAUUGAAUAGUGAAUGGUUUUGGUGGUGAGGUUAGUAAUGAAUUUAACUAUUAUGAACCUGCAGCUUUUUUGGCGACUGUUGAAUUGAUCAGAAUGGUGGAAGAAGCACCUAAUUUUGUGGUGUUAGAGUAGAAUCUAGCGAAUUGGAAAAAGUUGAUGAGAGGAGCUAGAGAAUGAGUGAGAAGUCAAAACAAUGAUGAAGCGAAAUGGGGCCUCGUUUUCUAACAAUGAGAACAAUUCUUCUCCACAAUAAUGAGCUCAAUUUGCACAAACUUCUGCGGCACAUUUUUUUCUUGGGCAACUUUCUAUGGAUGUGUAAGCAACCGGAACUGACAGUGAGCGGAAUCAUUAGAUCCAAUUGUUCACCACUUGGGCCUCUAAAGACAAAGUAAACACAAACCUCUGCAUUCUCCGUCAGAAUGAGACACAAAAUGCGGACUUGAACAUGACAUAGAGACUCAGAAAGUUAUUUAAGCAUGUGCAAAACGGUGUCGAGUAAGAAACGGUGAACCACACUAAUGAAUACAUGUCAGCACAGCUACAACACAUCGGCUGCUAUUACUCUGGCCGUGAGGAUUGGUGUAACGGGGAGUUUAGCGCUACCUGCAAGGAUGUGGUGCUACGACACGGAGGUCAAGUGUUGGGUGUGAGAGCUUCUACUAAUGAGGUCGUGAUGCAGACGGUGAACGAGGUGGUAUUCAAGUCUUUUAGUGAGGUGCAAGAUCAGCUUCUAAAGGUCACUACGUUGCCGCAAUUCGAGUCGCUGGCUUGUCAGCGGUUUGCGUCUUCUUGUGAGGCUGCCAUCAAUGACCACAUCAAUGAACCACACUAAUGAAUACAUGUCGGCGCAGCUAGAUGGGUAUUCAAAAAUGGUACUUGCCGCAGUCAUCCUGGUCUCAGCCCUUGAGUGUGGUCACGAUCGCAACUCUCUGCAAUUGGUUUUGAAUUUCAUACUACAGGCGCAUAACUGUAAAAAUUCAUAUCGCAUCCUUGUAACUAUGAAUCUUCUGCAACCUAACAGAGAGUUCAGCUUGUAGAGUUCAACAAUAAGUAGUUUUGAGAGAGUCACUUGAGAUGGGAAAUUAUUAGAAACCAAUAAAAGAAUUACACUGUGGCUGCACACCAAGUUUCCUGCACAAUACUUGUCAACUGCGAGUGGACCUGUGGAAGUAAUCUACGCAGUUAGUAAAUUCAUUCUGGUCAAGAGGGAUUUGCAGCACCAAUAGUAGCAACCAUGGGUCACGUUCAUUUCAGUCAUUUUUGGAAUCUUAGGUAAUGCUCAAACCUUGAACCCUUGGAGACGCGAAGCAUGAGUGGGUCAUGAAGCUGGACAUGGAAUGAGUGAGCUGGUCAGAGGAGCCAUAAUCGUGCACUGGAAGUGAUGGAAAGUGGAGACUGAGCAGUGAAACAUGUAGAACAAACAUGGUUUUGAGAAUUUGCACUCACUCAAAAACAUAAAACGCAAGAAGAAACCGAAGUGCCUGCCGAGAUUUCUGCGACUACAGCGACGGUGGGGGCGUCCGGUUCGUGCGGGGACUAGAAAGCAAGGAAAAGUGACACUCGGGGCCCAGCUACAACUAAAAAGAAUUGGAAAUUGAUAAGUUAUCACUUCAGAGGGUAUUUUUGCAUUAUCAAAAUAAUAAGUGUAAUAUUAAAAAUAAAUAGGGGUAGAUUUGAUAUUAUCAAGAAUACAGGGUUAUUCUUGACAUCCUGCAAAAUUCAGGGUCAUAUGUGAUAUUUUUCUUUUUUUUAAUAUCACACUUAUUAUUUUUUAGUUCUAUUUAUUUUUAUAAAAUAUUAUAUAAUUUUUUUAGAUUCUUUACGAUACAAAUUAAUUUUUCGUUGCCUAUUUUUAUUCAUUUAUUCAUUAAUAUUUUAUAUACUAAAAUUUAAAAUAUUAUAGUAUUAGUUCUUAUAUUGAUUUUUUAAAAAUUAUACAUGAUAAUCAACAACAAUAUUUGUUUGUAGAAUUGCAUAUGUUUUGAGAUACGAUUGCAUUUAUGACAAUAUAUAUAUAUACGUAUGUGACUAAAAAAUUCAUUCUUUUGUUUGAUAUUAAAGCCAAUUUUUUCAAUUAAUAUUUAUAAAAUUUAUAUAUAUAUAUAUAUAUAUAUAUAUAUAUAUAUAUAUGUUCCAAUUUUAUUGAAUUAUUAAUUAUUAGUUAAUUUGAUAUUUACAUACAUAGAAUUAAAUAGAAUUAUUAGAAUAUAAAUAAAAAUAUAUAGAAAUACAUUUGGUGUCAAAAAUAAAUUUUUGAUUUAUGUAUAAUAAAUGCAUCAAGGUUGUUUAAAAGGAUUUUGGUGUUUGAAAAUUUAUAAGAACAUAGAAAAAAAAAUCAAAUUAAUAUCUUUUCAUUCUUCAACUUAAUUUCAUAAAAAAAAUAUAAUUGUAUCUGAAUGUUUAUCUAUAAAAAUUAUUUUCUAAAAUUUUUUUAAUGAUAUAAAAUAAAAAAUAAAAAGUAUAUAAUUUAAUAAAAAGUAAUAAUUGUAAUAAUAAUAAUUAAUAUUUUUUAGAUUUAAAUAAUUUUUUGACCAAUCACUUUUUUGUUCCUUUACUUAAAAAGCAAAAUUGAUGCAUAAAAAAUAAUGUCUUUAUUUAUUCUUCUAUUUGUGCUAUGACAUUCUUUAUUUUAUAUAUAUAUAUAUAUAUAUAUACACAUAGAUAUAGAUAUACAUGAGAUAUUUAAUUGCCUAAAAAAUAUUUAUGCAAGCAAUAGAAAUCUAAAGCAAAUAAAAAUAUAAAACUAUUGAAAAAAUAAUAUCAAUAGAAGAGAAGAUAAUUUGUAGCCUUUAAAUCAUUUUAGUAUUUUCAAUAGAAAUGAAUACUAUAUUUAUUUAUCAAAUAAGAAUAAACUCCAAUAUCAUACAUGUUAAUCUUAUGAAGUUGUUUGAGAUAUGAAUUUAAAAAUAAUAAUUAUAUAUAUAUAUAUAUAUAUAGACAUGUUAUCAUACAACUAAAAUAGAAAAAAUAAUUUAAGUUGUAUAUAAUUUUAAAAUGACAAAGUACUAGAAUGAUUAUUCUAAGUAUAUAGAAACUAAAGCAUCUUGAAUAAACACUAGAAUACAAAAAAGAAUAUUGACAAGAUUGAGAAUAGAAUUAAUUUUUCAUCUAUAUAUACUAGCUAAGAAUAAUGUUAUAUAUUAUUUUACAUAAAAAAGCUACAAGGCUUUAAUGCUAAGUAUUAAGUUAUUUCGCACUUUUAUAAUAAUUUUACAAAUUAAAAAAAAAAAAAAAAAAAAAAAACUCUAAAUAAUGUUUAUAUUAUUAUAUGGCAUAUCUAAAAAAGAAUCUAUAGAUUCCACUUACAUCUAGGAAACUUCUUGAAUAUUAUCAUUCUAAUGUAUAUUUACUUAUUUAUAUGAAACUUAUAAUUUAUGUUUAUUUAAAUAAUGUAGAGAUUUAAAAAAAUUAUAUAAGGUUGUCUUAUACGUAAAAUUUGUAGUUAUUUUAAAUCUUGAUUUAAUUAUUGGACAUUAGUUGAUACAUAAAAUUUAGUUGUAAUAUUGUAUCUUAAAUAAAGAAUUCUUUUUUUUGGCACAUAUUAAAAAUAUCUUUUAAAUAAUUAUUUUUUAUUCAACAGAUUUUUCCAUAAUUUGAUUUUUGAUCCCAAGUAAUUUAGUAGAAUAAUAAUCUAUAUUUUAUAGAGUAUAAUAAAUAAAUAAAAAAGACAAAGUUUUUUGGAAAAAAAAAAUCCUUUGUUAAUUUAGAUUUGAGAGAAAAAAAAUAAAAAGUUAAUAUGCAUUAACAUGUUUAAUCUUAAUAUUAAUGUGAGAGAAGAUACAAGUUAGUAAUAAAUCUAUUCUCAUAAAGUUGAGAUAUAAGGCAAUUGUGGCUUGUAUUGAUUAUUUUGAAGAAAUAGAUCUUUCAUAAUUUUUAUUGUGCCUUUAGUUUAAGCAAAUUUAAAAUCAAGUAAUUCUAAUCUUAUAACAAUUAUCCUUUUGUAGACCACGUCUUAAUCUUUGAGUAGAAAUUAAAUUAUUUGAAGAGUUUUUUUAACCAAUUCAAAAUAUAUUAAGAAAAUUAAUGGUCACAUCAAUGCAAUGGUUACAAAAAAAUAACAUAAUUUUUAAUAGUAUAGUUUGAUUCAAUUAAACAGUGAUGAUUGUAAUAUACCAAUGUAUGAUAAAAUGUAUCCAAAUGAUUUUGAUUAUAGUUGUGGCUAAAUCAAGUAAAAUAUCUAUAAAUAGAAAGAAUUUUUAAAUAGUUAAAAAAACACAUGGAUAAUUAGCUACUGGGAUAGCACAAAAAAAUUAAAAUAACGAUCUCAAACAAAAGUUCCAUCAUUUUCAACUCCCACCAAAAGUUGUGAAUAAAAUCACCAACACAAAGCACUAAAAGUGGUCAAAGACUAUAACAUUUCCCGGACAUACUUUCCACCAAAAAUGUUGUGGAGGAAAAUAUUACGAACACUAUAUUCCGCAAGAGACUGGAAUCCACAUAAGACUGAAAAGUUUAAAAAAAAAAUAAAAAAAAAAGGAAACAGGAAAAAAUCGUCUAAAAUAGCUUGGAAUGCAAAUUUCAAUUUUACCACUUUUAGUACUCAACAUGGGUAGAUGAACUCAUGUCAUCUACCCAUCUUCGCAAUAAAAAAAAUCAGAUUUUAACUUUAAGCUAUUCUUAAUAUUGCGAGGUUCCUUGUACCGGAUCGAUACUCCUACAACGAAACUCCGUGUCGGGGAAGCAUGAAUGGCCGCACAAUCAAUGCCUUGUGUUGUAUGAUUUGUGGUUUCUCAAGCAACGGCCUCGAAACCAUCUAACGUUAGAUCUACCUUUCGAGCUGCUCCGAAGGUGAACCCCACUCUCAAAAUCCUGCCAAAUAUAUACCAAAAAAUGGUUUCGCUCAGAUCAUGCCGAGUGCAAAUGGGUUCCGUGCUUGUGCAAUAGUUCGUUGUACGCAAGCCGUACGAGAUAGUCUCGGAGCUUGUCCGCAGUGCAAUUGCUUGGCCUGCCUGAUACCAUUCGAUUCCAUCGCUGUGUUUUCUCAGCCAGCCUCGCCGCAUCUGUCGCCGAGUCCCUAGGGAUAGUGCUAGUUCAGUCCUCGUCGUAGGGUUAUCCACAUACACGUGUUCAACGACGCUGGAUACUGGUUCAGCUUUGUCAGGCAUCGGAUGUUGGUUAAAGAGUGUGAUGGUUCCAGCGGGGUGGUGAGUGAAGAUCUGGACAUUUGGAAUGCGACUUGUAUGCCAUGCAGUAAUAUAAAAACAGACAUGGUGUCUCGGUGGGCUUUGAAUAGUCUGCACGUCGUGUGGUCGCUUCGUAAACGGGCACACACGUAUCCAUGUGAAUGUUGCAGUUCACGCUUCCACGCACCAGGUGAGAUGGGAGUUUGUUUAUAAUGUCGUAGGCCCAGUAUGCGGAUGCUCAGUAUCGCUUCGAUCGAAAGUGCAAGUGACGGUUUUGCAGGUUCAGAGACAAAUGUGCAGUGUUUUUCAAUAAGACUGUUCCGUCACUUGUCUCCUUUGUUUUUCUGGGUGCUGACAGUGCCGUGUUUUUAUAAAAUCAGUGCCUUCUAGGUGAGAUAGAAGUUCGAAGGUAAGUUCUGAUGAAGAAUGGUUCUCCUGCUUCGGAGGUGUGAAGAGUUGGAGGCAUAGAGUUGAAUGUCAAAGAGCACUGGAGUUCCGUCACUUGUCUCCGUUGUGGUUCAAGUACCUCUGGUGUUGCAAGUAGAAAGAGUAUGUGUUGGAGUGGUUAGAAAAAUGCUUGUUUUUGCAGAGGCGGGGUUAUGUUCAAAUUAGGAGGGGUUUUUUCAGUAUCUGCAAGGAAUCUAGUAGCAUGGAAACACGAGCGUCGUUGUCGGUGAGGAAGAGUUGUUGCAAAUGAUAUUGGAGGGAAGUUCUUGUCGGAGUGUGAUUGUGCGAUCAUCACUGGCCACAAGAGAAAAUCUACUGUUUUUAUUGAUACUACCGUCGAAAAUAUGAAUGUGAUUUAUAAUCUCGCAGAUAGAAUCGGCGAACCACUUUGCUUUCUCGGAGUUCUUGGGUUUCUCUUCGUCAAGUACAUUACCAGUCAAUGAAAUCCGUCUAUAACUUGUGAAUGUCAAAAACCUCGUGCCAGUAUCCACAGGAUGAGUUCUUCAUUUCGUCGAUUAGUGCUGCUUCUGGACGGCACAUGGCAAGAACAGGUCAAUCGCACCAACGUUGCAAUUCUGUUCGAGAAUGUUGAUCAAGAUGCGAAUGGAGAUGGAGUUGAGCAGAUAGUCAAGUACUUUGAAGGCGUUGGAACGUCGUGGGGAGAUAGGCUUCUUGCCGGAGCAUUCGGAUACGGGUUAUCCGAGGUCAUCAAAGAUGCUUACUUAUGGCUGUCACAAACCUACAAACCAGGAGAUGAGGUUUUUGUGUUCGGAUUCAGCCGGGGGGCUUACACAGCGCGAAGUCUCGUAGGGCUCAUGAACAAAAUUGGUGGUGUGUUGAAGCAGCCGACGAAGGCCCUCGUGGAGCAGGCUUAUGAUCUCUAUCGAGAUUCUAAGAGUGAUGCUACCGAGUUUAAAGCCCAGCACAGUCAGGAAGCACGAGUCAAGCUCAUUGGAGUCUGGGAAACGGUGGGGGCUCUCGGUAUUCCAUCAUUGGGGCUCCCCUUGACGUUGCCCGGCACCCCAGAUUACUACCGCUUCCAUGAUACCAACCUCUCGUGCAUCGUGGACUACGCGUACCAUGCAAUUGCGAUCGAUGAGUACAGAGCAGAUUUUGACGCUACUCUGUGGGAUGCAACGACAGAGAAGAACAAGGAUGUUGAGCAAUGUUGGUUUAUCGGAGAUCAUGGCAACAUAGGAGGCGGUGGUACGAGCAACAUACUCUCGAUUCUCCCGUAUGUCUGGAUGCAAGACAAAGCCGUAGCCGUCGGUCUCCGCAUGAAGACUAUGUUGAAGGCAGGGGAGCAAUGGCGCCAGGCUCCCAAUGAUUCCUUCGGUUCAUUCUUGUUCGGAAUGUAUAGGAUAUAUCGUUUGGGUCAACCAAACAACCGAGAAAUUGGCAAGAAGGUGGAGGAAUCGCUGCACCCUAGUGUCUUGCUACGCCUCCAAAACUACCCUGAGUAUCAACCCAAGCCUCUGACGAAUGUAGGAGUUCCGGAUAGAACCAACGAGAUUCCUCGCAACAAAAAUGUGAAGAGGUGCGACGGCAGCAAAGAAGGUGUCGCUGCCUCCUAGCUGCUACGAAUGAGCCAGAUUCUGUCGAAAUUGCUUUUCCCUACUUACAAUCGUGGUUUGCCUACUUGGAAUGCCAUGGUUACGGAGGGAGGUCUGGUGAUCCAACACUUUGUUCGAUCAGUUUUUAUAGUUUGCUUGGUAUUGAACGUUCUUUGUUGAUGCGCCUUCUAGCACAGUAAAGCCUUGCUAAAUCAGAAUUUGAUGAGAGUCUAUGUACCAAGGGAAUCGUGAUUGGCCUCUGCUUUCCUCUUUGAAUUGGUUCUUGAUUUCAUUCCUGUAGUUCGGAGAGGUAUACAUUUAGUAGAUAAGCGGUACGUUACAAUAUACAUAACAAUCUGUACAAUGAUUUCGCCAUAAAAAAAGAGUAUUUCUCAUUCAAAGAGUAAAACACCUAAUGUUGUGGGUGAUAAUGGCGACGAGAGUCUUCGAUCAAAACACUGAUAUGGCGCGAUCCACGAUUUUACGACGACCAUCAGAUUUGCAGAUGCUAAAUAGUUGACUACUUUAGCCAUCAACAUAUUUGCAAUUUUAUAAAAUAAACAAGCUUCACGUUGCCAGCAGAUCGGGUAAUAGUGCAACUGUGACAACAAUCUAAUGACAAACUUGGACUUGAUUUUGUCAAUUCACCUUAAACAUUCACGAGGUCUUUUUCUCGCCAUUACAGCCGGAGGACGAUCUUUCAGCGGAGUAUGAAGUGAAAAUAGAGUCCUCAUUGAAAGAACAUAGUACCACUGGCGGUUUUGUGUAUGGAAUGUCACUACGAAACUGCUUCAUUUCGCCAGAACUGUCAUCCACAGUCCCAAGGCCCUUUGGACUGUAUUUUGAAUUAUUCUGCGGUCGGAGCUUGACAGACCAGUGCUGCAAUUCCCCGACAGAUUGACCGAUGACACGAGAGUGCUCCUUCUCUUUAAUCCAUGCAUACGCACCCCCGAGCUUGUUUCUGAAAGAAUCCUCCAAUUCUGUGCGCCAAUGUGGCCGCUGUUCACUGGCCUUGUAGGUCCACUUGUAACGUGAGCCAUUCGCUAUGGCCUUGUCUUGCAUCCAUUCGUAGGACAACUGCCGCAGGUCGUCCCCUACUAUCCCGCCUCCGCAGUUGCUAUGGCUAUCGACGAACCAGCAUUGCUCCAACUUUUUGUUCUCUGGCGUCAUUUUACCCCUGAGUGUCGGAUCGAAGUCUUCACGAUAUUCGUCGAUUGCCAAAGCUUGGUAGGCUUCGUCGACGAUGCAAGAUAGAUCCUGAUCGUGGAAUAUGUAGUUUUUCCUGGACAGCGGAGUGUUGCUUAUAAGAUUUAACACUGGUGCAUACCAGGUAUUGCUUUUAAAUGCUGAAUCGGGGACUCCGAGCACUCCCACCGUAUCCCACAUGCCCACCAACUUUACGCGCACGGGAUAACAAUUUUUAGCAAAUGCUUUCAUCACUGGAUGACAGGGCUUCAUAUCAUUGCGGUACAAUUUGAAAGCUUCUUCCACGGAGGCCUUGGUUACGUAGCCAUCUGCCGGUUUCUUCAACACCCCGCCGACUUCAUGCAACAUCGAGACUAAACUGCGAGCUGAAUAGGUCCCACGACUAAACCCGAACACGAAGAUUUCGACUCCCUCCUUGUAAUUCUCUGAACAUCAGUGGUAAGCCUGUUUGAUGAUUUCCGACAAUCCGUAACCAAAUGAUCCGCCUAAAAUCUUUCCGACACAAGCCAUUCCAACACCUGAGUAAUAUUUUACCAGCUGCUCGACUCCAUUUUCAUCUGGGCCCGAAUCGAUCGCCUCGUGCAUACGUGCGACACUAGUUCAGUCGCUCAACUCGUUCCAUGUGCCAUCGAAUAUCACAACAAGACGACAAUGCCAUCUUGUUGCCAUCCUGUCAAUGUUGCAAACAAGUUCAAGAGGCUUUUUGAACUUGGCAGUCAAACGCUCUUUGUUAGUCUUUUGCAGAACCGAUGCUAAAAUCACUGAUGGCAUUAUUACGGUAUUCUUUCUAGUACAUUGUAAACGAAAUACUGUUUCCAUGCGAUUAAAAUAAACAAAAUUCUCAAAUAAGCUCUUAUCAGAAAAACGUCAUGCGCAAGAGUUUUUCCUUCAAACUCGUACUUAUCUAUUGAUUAACUUGUCAUAAAUUCCUGCACUGGAAAGCGUGAAUGAAUCUCACAUUUAUAUUUUUCUGUAACUGGCACCCUCAAGGUUCAUAUCAGGAAGCAUACGAACAUAUCUGCUACAUUUCGAACCUGGAUGCUUCAAUUGUUGGUCUUCAUCACUCUGUCGUCUUUAUGGUAAAUUACCGGCUAUACUCUAGAAAUGUCAGCGAUCUUUUCAUGCUUUCUGUCGUUCCUCUGACAGUUCAGUGAUGGCAGCAGUCUCUUAAGGGUACGGGGCUGAGGAGCAAAUCUGCACGUGGGUUGUAGCGUUCUCCACUUUGUUCUCAGAACCUGUAAUCUGCCAGAGAGGAAUUGGGCGUGAGAAGUAUGCCGAUAUCCAAGAAAAGAAAACUCUAAGAAUAUUGGCGAGUCACAUGCUCGCAGAAGCUUUGCAACUCUGGACUACUGCACAUAAAAUGAGGAAGAACACAAGCGCUGCAUACACAAUCAUGUCACGCAUAGUCUAUUUGCUUCAGGUCGAUGGCAGCGAUGAACCAGAUUUUUAGAGCGGAUCAAUUACAAUAUGUGAGGCUAAGAUUGUAAAUUAUUCUGAAGCGGAUGCAAUCGUUCCUCGAGCUAUUUUCUCCUAUCCUUCGACAAAGCACAUUGUAAAUGUUGUAUGAUCUAGGAUUUUGCUGAAUUGACUAGAUGCGAGCCCCACGCUUUUCAGUCUCAAGGGCCAUCUCCAAAAUAUCAGUCCUCCAAAUUUGGUCAAUCACUAUGUACAUAUGUCCCACUGUAGAGUUCACAGAUGCAGAUGAUCCAAUUGCAGCGAACUUGGUGCUCAUCGAGCCGCAUUCUAAGUGCUUCAUGUAACAUGCAUCUUGUACCAUUCAUUAAAGUUCUGUUUUUGCAUUCAGCAACACCGUUUUGUCUUGGAGUAUAAGUUGUUAACUGACGUUGUAUCCCAUGGGUUGAUAGGUAAUUGUCAAAUUUGGAGGAGAGAUACUCUCCUUGAUCGGAUAGGAGGGUGCGCAUUUUGUAUCCAGUUUGUGUCUCAGGCCCACAUGUGAAAGAUUUUGAAAAAUUCAAUGCACUCGCUUUUUCGUUGAAGGAGACGAAGUACUGUAUAUCGAGAGUAAUCAUCAAUAAAUGUGACAUAAUAUUUGAAUCCUGAAAAUGUUGGAGUGGCCACUUGGCUACUUAGAUCUAAAUGUACAAGUUCGAGAGGUUGAAAGGCGCGAAAAGUGGCAAUUUUUGGAAAUUUUGUAAUGGUUUGUUUUCCGUGAAGGCAAGUUGAGCACAUUUGAGCUGGAACGUGCUUUAGUGAUAGUCCACUAACGGCUUUGUGUUGAGCUAAUUGUUUUAGUCGUUGUGUGCUGAUGUGACCAAGAUGGCAAUGCCACAGAGAAGCUUGUUUUCCAUUUUUUUGUUGAGAAGAGAACUCACUGUGAAAAGCUGCCAUAUGUGCACAGAUCAGGAGACUGGGGAGUCGUUGUCUCGGUUGUCUUCCAUAGUGUAUAGCAGCGGAAGGGACUGCUGGGGUGUUAGCCGAUAUUUUGGAUAUGGCGAUUGUCGAUUUCUCAUAUCCAGAGGAAGAACCGAUUCAGAGAGCUUUGGAAAGAGGCGGGUCUUAAGUCUGUUGUGAUCAAGUCGCACAGAGCACUGAGGGCAUCGAAAAGCUGACAGACCAAAUUCUUUUGUCCGUGUCGCUGGCUGAGUGGCUGACUGUGUGAGUAGAAAGGUGAGAGCGGGUAAACUUUGAAUAUGGUGCGGGAGUGAGCCAGGGUGCGAUAUUGGUGACAGGCAAACAAGUGCCCCUAGAGCUGGAAGAAAUCUUGGUGAUGGAGUGAACGGCAACGGGAGAUUUGUUGCAAUGAAGAUACAAGGUUAUUGGUUUUGUCUUGAUUGUAGAGAAUUUUGGGCCUCUUAUGUUAUGUUUUAUUUAAGGACGUGAUUGCUAGUUGCCUUAUGUUUUGCGGCCUGCAAAGAGAGCUUGAGAUUUUGAGGUUCAGCCUGUCAUAGCUAUUUCUUCUUGUAAAAGAAUUGCAAUUAAUAUUGGAAGUGCAAUCAAUUUGUAUGACAAUUCCAUAUUGUAAUGGCAUAGAUCUCAUUAAAGUGAGUAUUUCCAUUUGUAAUGGAAUUAUCACUCUGGCUGAAUGAUAUUGAAGUUAUAAAAAUGUUGUAUGGCGGAUUUGUCUACUUUCAUUUUUUAUGUUAUAAAUUUUUCUUAUAGAUGUGCUCAAGUGACUAUGUCACUGGUUAAAUAUGUGUUUUCAAGAGCUAAUCAUGCUUUGUAGUUUUGUAUGCUCUAACAUGUGAGAAAAUGGCAUUGUCUACACAAUCCUAAAUGGCGACAAGAACAACUUGAUUUUUUUUUUUCUACAUAAAUAUUAUAAUAAUAUUUGUUGUGGAUUUCUUAUUUUCACAUGAUUGAGAAUCAUCCAUAUUUCUUUGUACAUACCUAAUAAUAAGAUGACUUGUACAAAAAUUACCAAUGAUAGAAUGUAAGCCACAAGAUCAACAAGUAAAUAAUGUGUCUAACUUAUGAGAGCUGCAGUGUACUAGUCAAUCUAGAAGAUUUGAUAAUUUUAUUCCAAUACUAAAAAUUUAAAAAAAUUAAAAAUUUUGAAUAAUUUAUUCUACUACAAAAAAAAAUUAAAAUCAAACUUAGAUAUUUAAUUAUCAAAUAUUUUUUAAUAAUUAAUUAUAAAUAUUAUAUAUACUUAAUUGAAAGCAUAAUAUUAGAUUUUUUGUUGAAAUAUUUUUUUAAUAUUUUUUUUUUAAAAUUUGAUGAAUAAGAGAGUAAUUUUUUUUUGAAUAAUAUCAAAAAUUAGAUAAAUUACUUGUGAUAGUUAAAGAAAUAAAGAAUCAAAAUAAAUUACCAUCAUUGAUUUUUUAAAAUCUAUUUUUUUUAGUUUAAAUAUUUUUUAUAUUUUUUUAUAUUUCAAGAAAAUACAUUUGUAUAGUUUAUCAAGGAUGCAAGGAAAAAAAACCAAAAAAAAUAAGCAUUACAAAGAAACUAGAUUAGUAUAUCUCACAUGAAGGAUCAAAAGAUUCUAAAAGAUAUUAAAGAUAAAUGAUAAAAAAUUAAAAAGAUCUAGAAGGUGCCUAAAAUCAGAUUCAAUAUAUAUAUAUAUAUAUAUAUAUACAUAUUGAUACAUUCAUUAUAUUAAUUUUGUAUACUUUAAGUAGUAUCAAAAAGUAAAUUUUAAAUCUUUAAAUAUUAUUAUUAUAGAUAUUACAUAUUUUGAUGUCUUUGUUUAUUUAUUUUGUUGUAAAUUAAAAAUAUGAUCUACAUAUUGUUAAGAUUAAUCCAAGCAAAGGUCAAGUCCAAACUUAUUUUUUAAGAUUUUUUUAUUUUGAUUUAUUUUUUUGAAUGAAUUCUAAUUUAUAAUUGACACUCAUAGUUGAAUGAACAAGAUAUAUUCAUCCAUAUAUAUAUUUAUCCAUUCUAAUAUUUAUAUAUCUAUACCUAUAGUUAUCUAAGCACCAUCUAAAAAAUUUAAUCUUUACUCAAGAGAUGUAGGCAUUUAAUUGGCUCGCCAUGGAGACGCUUUGAUCUAGUUGUGUCACUACUCUUUGCUUGAGUGACACCAAGAGGUACGCUUUGAUUUAGUUGUGUCACUACUCAUGCACUCCUUCAUGGCUUAGAGUCCAUGCUUGAUUAGAAAGAAUAUUUAGCUUACAUAGAAUCCAUAUAAAUCCAUGACCACCAAGCCAAGGAUAAUAUUGGACACUUUUUUCUAUUAUAAGAUUUUGGUCUUUAUAAGCAAGGGCCUAUUUUGUACCAAAGAAUUCAACUUAAACUCAACUCACAUUGACUAUGCUCAAUAUUUGGGUCACUAUAAGUAACAUCAUCUAAUGACAUCCUAGAAAUGGCAAUGUGCAUGGAGAUAUUAUAAUACAAGCAAUAAAUAAGAGUAGGUCUCAAAACUUGAUCUUCACCAACAUACACUACUAUUUUAAGAUAAAAAUAAUUUAUCUAUAUAUUGAUUUCAAUACUCUAAAGGUGGCUUAUUACAAUUCGACCUAUCAAUACCUUAUUAGAAAUAUUAUUAUAUUUUAAUAUGAUUAAUUUUACACAAUAUAUUAUAUGUAUAAGAGUGACACCAAGAGGUACAACUCUUAGUAUAAGGUCAAUAAGAGUAUAUAGUAUUCUAUACAUAAGACUAAUAUAUUAUAUAAAAUAAUUCUCUCAACACUCCCACUAGGAUACUAAUUUUCAUCCUCAAAUUAAAUUUUAUCUAUUUUGAAACAAAUAUAUAAAACAAAUUUAUGGUUUCAAUCUUUUUGUUGAUAUUGAAAUGUUGGAGAGCUUUCUAAUAGUUCUCCCACUACUUUUUCAAUUCUAAGAAGGUAUAUGAUUUUUUUUUUUUGUUGAUUUUUAUUUAUUUGUUGCUUCCUGUUUGAUAUUUGUAUGUUUUUUGUUUUGUGGUUUUAAUUAGACCAGAAAGGCUUGAAUAAUUAUAGAACGGUUUGCAAUUUUUUAUUUAGAAGAAAUUAAUACAUGCUUAUUUGAGAUAGGCAUUGAAAAUGUUUCUCUUUGCAAAAAUAUUUUAUAAAUAAAUCUAUUGUCAUAUGCAUGGUUGGUAUAUAUUAUAAUUUGAUUUCUUUAGUAAAGAUCUUUUUUUAGUAAAAUGAUAUUGUAUGUUCACAUGUUUGCUUCUAGAAUGAUAUUUGGGAUUUUUACUAAAAGCAAUGUACUUUGACUAUUUGAAUAUAUAGUCGUUGCUUUAUGUUGAAGAAAUCCAAGUUCAUAUACUAACUUUCUUAAUCAUAUAUCUUUAGUUUUUUUUAUUCUUUAUUAAAGCCAUAUAUUUUGAUUCUAUGGAUGAUAAAGUAAUAUAUUAUUAUUUCUUACUACCUCAAGAGAUAAUUCCUCUAGCUAAUAAGAAGAAAAAUCUAAAAGUGGAAGGACAUGUGUCUUUGUUACUUAUCUAGUGAGUAUCAAAAUAACCAUAUAAAAUAUCACCUUGAGGUAAGUGUUGAUAUUUUAUUCCAAAAUUUAAUGUGCCUUUUAUAUAUCUCAUAAUUCUUUUUAAAGUUUGAAUGUGUGUAAAUCCUAAUUUAGAAAGAUAUUGUAGUAAAUUGCCUAGAAUAUAAGCACAAUCUGGUCUGGAAUUAACAAUAGCAUACAUCAAAUUACCAAAAACUUGAGAAUAUGGAUAAUCUAAUGAAGUAAUAUAGUCUUCAUUAGUUGAACAAAUUCCUAGUUGAUUUGGGAUAUAUAAUAGGUUAGAUUCAACAUAUUGAAUUCAUUAGGUUUAUUUGUUAAAUAUUUUGCUUCAUGAAGGAUUAUCCAUCUUUCUUCUCUAUUUUUUAGGAUAGCAUUGCCUAAAAUGUAAUGGAUUUCUUCUUCAUCUAACAUGUUAUAUUCUUGUUUUAGAAUGCUUUUUACUUGUUGAAUUCAGAAAAUCUUGUUGGUGAUAAUGAUACAAUCAUCAAUUUAGGCUAUAAUUAUGAUAAAAUCCUUUUCAUUUUUUCUUUUGAUGUAUAUGUUUGCAUCUGAUUUUAGAUGUUGAUAUUUGUGAAGAAGUAAAUAUUGAUCUUAUCUUUGAUACCAUACUAUAAAAGAUUGUUUAAGACUAUAUAGGAAUUUAUUUAACUUAUAUAUAUUAUUAAUAUGUAUAAGAGGUAAUCCUUCAAAAAUACUCAGAUAGAUGUCUUCUUCAAUAAAACCAUUUUAAAAAGGAAUUUUAAGAUCUAAUUGAUGUAUUUCUAAAUUAUUUUAAGUCUCUUAGGCAAGAAGAACUUUGAUAGAGUUAAAUUUGACUACAAGAGAGUAUGUCACUAUGUAAUUUAUACCUUAAAUUUGGAUGAAAUCUCUUGCAACUAUCUUUGCUUUAUAUUUGUCAAUACUUCCAUGAGCUUUAGUUUUUAUUUUUAAAAUCCACAUUGAAUUGAUUGGUUUUUUUUAUUAGGAGGUAAAUUCGUCAUUGUCCAUGUAUUAUUCUUAUUUAAGGGUGUAAUUUUAAUAUUAAUUAUUUUUUGCCAUUCUUGAGCAUCAGCCCUCUCUAUUGCUUCUUGAAUGGAGUUUGGAACUUCUAUGGUGGUAGAAACAAGGUAGGCUUGGUAACGUUGAUUACAAUGGCGUUUAUAUUUUUUUCUUCUUUGUGUAGACUCUAACAAUCUUGUAGUUGGUUUAAUAAUUUUUGUUGGUCAAGAUCUAGAAGGAAGUCUUGGAUCUUGUAAUAUGGAAUGGACUACAUCAUAUUCAAGGAAUAAGAUCUCUUGAUCAUUUUGUAAUGAUUUUUGAGAAAAGACUUCAAUAAUAUCAAUAUAAGAAGGAAGUUGGUUUUCCAAAUUUUGAAAAGCACCAUAUAUUUAUUGAUUAAAUACAUAUGGCUCUUGUGGUAGUGGCUUUGGUGGUGUAGUCAUUCCUUGAAUAUGAAGUGUGGUGUGCUCAUUGGACCUUAUAGUUGUUGAAGGUUGCUUAAAUAAUUCUAAAUCUAUUAAAAGUUUUUUAUUAUUUUUUUGUAAAUAUAUUAAUUUUUGAUCAUAUAGAUUCUCAUUGAAGAGAACAUUUUUUAAAAUGAGAAUUUACUGAUUUUGUAUAUUCAUAAGUCUAUAGGCUUUAGAUUUUUUAUUAUAUCCUAAAAAGAUAGCCUGUUGUGAAUGAGAAUCUAAUUUCUUUCUUAUUUCUUUAGAAAUGAAUAUAUGAGCUUUGCAACAAAAUAUUUUAAGAUAGGAUAAAUUUGAUUGUCUUUUGUAUCACAAUUCAAAUGGUAUUUUGGUACUUUGUACAAAUUUUUUAAGGCUCUUAUUUUAGAGGUAAUUAGCUAUUUGGAGUACUUCACCUAAAAAAAAAUUAGGUAAGUUUGAAUAGGAUAGCAUUGCAAGAACUAUCUAUAUUAUUGUUCUAUUUUUUCUUUUAAAAAUAUCAUUUUGUUGUAGUAUAUAAGAAAUAGUAUAUUCUUAUUUUAUUAUUUUUUUGUUAUUUAAAUCUUUAAAUUUAUUUGAUUUAUAUUCACUUCCACAAUCAAAUCUUAAAAUUUUGAUUUUGAAACUUGUUUGUUUUUUCACAAAUUUUUUGUAUAAGAUGAAUUUUUCAAAUCCUUCAAAUUUUAGUUUCAUCAAAUAUAUAUGGCAAUAUCUUAUUAGAUCAUCAAUAAAUGUGAUGAAAUAAAUACAUUUUUAAUAUGUGCCUAUUUAUAUCAGACCACAAAUAUCAAAAUAUAGAAGUUCUAACAAUUAAGUAGCUCUUUGUACACCUUUUGUAGGAAACUUCUUCUUAUAUUAUUUAUCUUCUAUAGAAGGUUGAUAUAAGAUAAUUUUUUUUUCAUCAAAGAGGUCAAUUUCCUUUGCCAUUGUUUGUAUUUUUUUAAAUCUUUGCAAAUUUAUGUGUCUUAGUCUUAAAUGCCACAAAUCAACUUUAUUUAAUUAUGUUGUUACUGGAAUAGAAAUUUGAAACUUAUUUAAAAGUAUUGUUGCAUAUAAUUCAUAUAAAUCAAGGUUUAAUUUGUAUAUUGCAAUAGUUUGAUCAAAUUUAUUUAUAAGUAUAGUUGCUCCAACUCUUAUGUAAAUUUCUCUUCCUACCUUAUCCAAUUAUUUGGCAAAAAAUAAAUCCUUUGCAAGUCCUAGUAUAUGUAAUAUAUCAGGUAUGAUUUUUUCAUUGCCAUUUGUAAGUUUGAUAUUUACAUCACUACAUCCUUCUAUUAUUUAUGAUAUAGUAUUGUCUCCUAAAUAGACAACUUAAUUGACUUCACUUUUGAUGUAUUUGACAAAUCAUUCUAGCUCAUGACACAUAUGUUGAGUUGCUCUUGAGUCUAUAUACCACAUUGAAUUUGAAUUUUCUUUAAUUAUAAGUGCUGCUAUAUAUAAUUUAUUUGAUUUUGUAAUAAUAUUUUUUUCUUUUUUGUUAUUAUAAUUUUUAGUUACUAUUCUUGUUUUGCAAUCUUUGAUGAAGUUACCAGGUUUUUUUGUAGAAAAAACACUUCUUGUCAAUAGCAAAAUUACUUUUUUUAUGUGCUUAGAAGUAAUACUCUUUCUUUGUAGAUUAUUUUUAAAAUUCUUAUUAAAAUAAGAUUUCUUAUUAUUAUUCUAAAAUUUCUUACCUACAUAUAGGAUUGAAUUAUUAUCAAAUAUUAAACUCAUGUUUUUCAUGAGUAUUUCUUCCAAGAACAAAUUUUUUCUCAAAGAUACUAAUGUAAUCCCAAACUGUCUUCUUAAAGAGCUAAUGAAGGAUCUAUAAUUUAGAGGCAAACUUCUCAUUAAGGUUAGAAUUGCUUCAUCAUCUAGAACUAUUGAUUAUGUUACUAACAAUUGUUCCAUAUGUACUCUAAAGGUAUAUAUGGGUUUAACACUAUCACCUUCUCUUAUUUUUAAGGUGUAUAAUUUGUCUUUUAAACACAUCUUAGUUAUUGCACAUGUGAAACAAUGUUAUUUUCUAGACAAUUGUUGAUUAUGGUAAAAGAUAAGGUAUCUUUGUUUACUCGUGUGCUUAUACUCCCUACUCCUAUGGCAAGUAAAGCUGAGAUUCUGGCAACAAUUUCAGUUAUUAUUGGUUCUAUUAAUAAGCAUUUUUUACCACUUACUAUAGAUCAUAACUUUUUAGCUUUAAAAACUAGUAUUAAUCUAUAUUUCCAUGUAUUAAAUUAUGAACCAUUGAAUUUCAGAACAUGAUUGAUUCCACUUUUUGUAUCAUCUUCAAUAUUCUUAAUUUGAAGUUGAAUUAAAAUUAUUUAUAAAUUUAUUCUUGAUCAAUUCAAUUUUACCUUUAUUUAUGGUUAUUUUUUGCUAUUUGUAGAUUUAAAAUUGCUUCUCAUGGUUUGAAGAACUUCAAACUCUUCUUCAAUCUUUUCCAUUAGAAUAGAUUGUUUUAUUGUUAUUAUUAUAACCUUAUUUGUAAUUUCAGCAAUUCUUUUCUAGAUUGAAACAUUCAUCUAUUCUUAUAGUUUUAUAAGGAUCAAAUAUAUCUAUAGCUUUGAUACCAUGUUGGAAACAUUAUUAUAUUUUAAUAUAAUCAAUCUUACACAAUAUAUUGUGUAUACAAGAGUGACACCAAGAGUCACAACUCUUGGUGUAAGAUCAACAAGAAUAGAUAGUAUUCUAUACAUGAGACUAGUGUACUAUAUGGAAUAAUUCUCCCAAUACAUCUCACCACCAAAUAUACUACCAAAUAUACUGCGUUUCAGGGCAAGUAUAUUAACAAAAACCUGAAACAAAACCAAUACGCAAUUGAAGGAAUUCAUCAAUGAUGUUCACCCCUUUGACUGCCGCGGAUCUAAGUUCAUGUUCUCCAAUUGGCACAGCAAGUCAUCCUACAGCAUCGUGUUGAGGAAACGUUGUUAAGGUGGUCCAUAUUGAAAUUGUCCCACGCGUUUGUCAAUGAUCGUGUACAUUUCUUGCAACUGACGAGCAUUUUAUAAUGGUAAGAUAGCGACGACAGUGCUAACAGAAGAAUUUGAAUAGUCUGGUAAAAGGAGAAGUGAGCACAAGUAAUCACAUACUGAUGUCAGUUGUCUCUGGCAAGCUCGGCAUUGCUAAACCUAUGGAGCUUCGCUAAGAGGAUUUAGUAGUUCUAUUUUUUGCAAGUACAUUCUUCUAGUGACUUUUCAGGGCAAGUUGCGGUAUAAAUGUUCUAGACUUAGUAAAGUUUAUUUUUUUCUUUUGAAAGUUGAAAGUCUGUGAGGUUACUUCUCUCUUUGCAGCGAGUAUUUUCAUUAUAUUUUCUUUCAUUGUGUUUAGCGGAUCAUUGGAAUACGUUGUAACUUGUAAAACUUGGAAGAAUUAUUGCAAACUUAAUUUCUCAUCAUCUGCAAAGUUGCAUGGCACAUCUUUGAAGUUUGUGUGUUCUGGCUUGUAAGGUGGGCAUUGCCCAUCAAGCGUGCUAGGGUUGAGUUAUAAGAUUGCGACGUGUUGAAUUGAAGACAUGAGAGACUGGUACAGAAUACUCUCCAGAAACCAACAGAUACGAACCUCACAUUGCUUGCCUUCUUUGGUUGUCGGUACAAUAGGAGUACAUUACAAUAGUCCAAAGUACAUCACCUUUAGGUACUUCCGGAGGUCAUCACACCUUUCUCAACCUUUGUGUGCCGGGGUGGAUUCUUUCAAAUCACAAGGUAUUGAAAGCCUUGUCAACUUUUAACCAGAUUGUAACAAUCUCCCUCUAGCUUAGAACAAGGACUUCAAGCCAUCAAAUUUGACGUUCAUAGGGACGAAGGCAGUUAUCCGAGAAAACGUCUUUGUAUGAAGUUUUAACUGAUAUAGUGCUCAGCAAUGUGAGUAUUAAUGAGACAUUCAAUCGCCGCCUAUAAAAAUUGUACAUGUAACAGUGAUCUUUGUUUCUGUUUCGGAGUCAUAAUUUUUAUUCAGCACGCUUGUAUAAUUGGAUUCAAUCUUGUGAACGAUUAUUCUUCGCGAUGUGCACUGUGAUCCAUCAUCCUUAGCCUCUUCCGUGGUCACAUCAACGACUGUUGCAGCAACGAACACCCUAAUAAUGAUGGUUUCACAAACUUUGAAGAACUGGGUCACUGAAUCAUAUCAAUUCGAGAUGGAAAAUUCAAGCCAGCCCUGACGAUUAUUGCCCAAGGUUUUAAGCACGAGCACAUCUAGAAGCAACGCAGUUUUCCUUAACGUCCACUGUUUAUAGCGUACUUUAUUGCUCCUCAUGAAUCAAUAAUUGCAACCUAAAUGACACAUUACACUUAAGAAGAAGCAGCUGGGUACUAACUGGCACAAAAUCUAGCGUCCAGUACUCUUCUGGACUUAUUUCUUUUUCAUAUGAAGAUGUCAAUCAUCACUGAAAAACUUCCUAGAAACAAACUGAUAUCUCAAGUCACGGAAAAAAUAAACAACUUGCUCGCUCGAGUCGAUCAUCAAGUUCUUGUGUACAAAUCCUCUGUCCAUCCGGCUAACCUCAUUGUUCAUUAAACAAUUUUGCUGCAAGAAAGACAGACAAAUUAUGUCAAUUAAAUUCAUUGUCACACUGAGCAAUGCGGUUUGCCUUCCCUGCUGAAGCUUUAAAAC